GACAGAGGGUGCAAACGUUGCUCGGAAUUACUGGGCGUAAAGCGCGUGUAGGCGGCUCUGCAAGUCGGGUGUGAAAUCCCAUGGCUCAACUAUGGAAGUGCACUCGAAACUGCAGGGCUAGAGUCCUGGAGAGGAAGGUGGAAUGCUUGGUGUAGAGGUGAAAUUCGUAGAUAUCAAGCGGAACACCGGUGGCGAAGGCGGCCUUCUGGACAGUGACUGACGCUGAGACGCGAAAGCGUGGGGAGCAAACAGG
rnacentral:rRNA from 1 species